rnacentral:rRNA from 1 species
AUACGAAGGUCCCAAGCGUUAUUCGGAAUCACUGGGCGUAAAGAGUACGUAGGCGGUUUGGUAAGUCAGGUGUGAAAUCCCGGAGCUCAACUCCGGAACUGCAUCCGAUACUGCCAGACUAGAGUAAUGGAGAGGCAGGUGGAAUUCUCGGUGUAGCAGUGAAAUGCGUGGAUAUCGAGAGGAAGACCAAUGGCGAAGGCAGCCUGCUGGACAUUUACUGACGCUGAGAUACGAAGGCUAGGGGAGCGAAAGGGAUUAGAAACCCGGGUAGUCC